AUUGAACGCUGGCGGCAGGCCUAACACAUGCAAGUCGAACGAGUGGCGGACGGGUGAGUAAUGGCUGGGAAACUGCCUGAUGGAGGGGGAUAACGACUGGAAACGGUAGCUAAUACCGCAUACCAUCAGAUGUGCCCAGAUGGGAUUAGCUUGUUGGGGGGGUAACGGCUAACCAAGGCGACGAUCCCUAGCUGGUCUGAGAGGAUGACCCGCCAACCUGGAACUGAGACACGGUCCAGACUCCUACGGGAGGCAGCAGUGGGGAAUAUUGGACAAUGGGCGAAAGCCUGAUCCAGCCAUGCCGCGUGUGUGAAGAAGGUCUUCGGAUUGUAAAGCACUUUAAGUUGGGAGGCGUUACCAACAGAAUAAGCACCGGCUAACGCCGUGCCAGCCGCCGCGGUAAUUC
rnacentral:rRNA from 1 species